UUAGCAUUCAUUCAUUCGUUCAGAAUGUCAGAGUUGGAAGGAAGCGAUCUUAAAAGAUGGAAUACAGAAUGUCAAAGCCAGAAGACCUUGGAAUCCAUCCAGUCCAACACUCUCAUUUAACUGAAAGGGAAACUAAGGUCCAUAGUCCAAGGUACUUGCUCUGUUUUAUAGAGUUGGAAAGGGGCAAUCAGACAUGUUGAUGGGCUGAUUCUCUAGGCGCAGGGGUUCUCAAACUUUUUAAAUAAGGGGCCAGUUCACUGACCCUCAGACUGUUGGAGGGCCGGACUGUAGUAAACACAAAAACUUUGUUUUGUGGGCCUUUGAAUAAAGAAACUUCAUAGCCCUGGGUGAGGGGGAUAAAUGUCCUCAGCUGCCGCAUCUGGCCCGCGGGCUGCAGUUUGAGGACCCCUGGCCCGGAUGGAGCACCAGCUCUGAAUAAGAACACAGACUCUGGGGACUUUAGGAUUUGGGAUUUGACGUGGCGAAGUGAUUGAAAUUGAACCUGGGAAGCUAAACUCUAACUCCUCCAGCUCUCUGUAGAGGUUUAUUGAUAAAAGAUGCUGGACUAGAUGAGGCGCUGGGGCAGAGGCAGCAGGGUAGAGCAGAGAGAGGAAGGAAGAAAGGAAACCAGCCUUGACAAAGGCUGCAGCUAUCUCUUUUAAUCCUCAAAACAGCCCAGGAGGUGAGCUUCAUUAUCAUCUCCGUUUGACAGUGGAGGAAAGUGAGUGAUUGCCCCAAGGGUUUGCACAGUAGGCCUGGGCUCUCAUCCUGGGGGCGCUGCUCUGUGGCUUUGGGCUAGCUUCUGAGCCUCAGUUUCUCCAUUUGUAGCUUGGGGAUUAAAAUAAUUGUUCCUCGGGGGCCUCUCUGAAGAACAAAGAAGCGAUAAUGUGGCUUAGUGGCAAGAGCAUGGAACGGAGAAGGAGAAGAUCCGAAUUUAAGUCCUGCCCCCGUCUGCUUUGGGUAAAUCACAUCGCCUCCUUGGGCUUGAGUUCCUCUGCUGAAAAAGGAGGGCCUGGCCCCAGAAUUAGAGGGCCUUCCAAUCUCCCCUUUGAUACAACCCGUGGGACUUCAGGGAGCCCGUGUGUAAAAUGAGCAGACUGGCCAGCUGACCCCGGAGGCCCGGCUCAGCCUGAUUUCGGGCCCUGGGAUCCUCUGAUCCCGGAGCCUCUUGCAGCUUGUCCAGAUGCUACCGGGGUGCACAGGGACUGCAGCCGCGAUGUACCUGGCAGAGGCUCCUGGGAGCGCCCCCCGGACCAGCGCAGCCCGGAGGUCUGGAGCCGGCGCGUGUAAGAAGCGGGACCGGAACCGGAUCUCUCCGGCUUCUGCCACCAGAAACGCCGUGAAAGUUACAAGAGGACAAGUGGCACAGAGGGGCAGGGACGCGCAGAACUAGCCGGGAGGGCCCUCAGCAUUACUAGCCCCGGAAUUACGGGGAGGACACGGGGAAGUUAAGUGGCUUCUGUGCCCGGAGGGCGGCCGAGGGCGCCGCGAGAUCCCUCGGCCUCAGACCCAGGCUGCUGGGCGCCCCUGCGUGCCUCAGUUUCCUCGCCUCUAAGAUGAGCUGGAGAAGGAGACGGCCAACCACGCCAGUGUCCCUGCCGAGCAAGCCCCAGACGGGCCCGCGAAGAGUCGGGCCCACAGCAAGGUCACAGUGCAAUGCUGUGAGGUGUCGUGACUAGUGGCGGGGCCCUGCUUUUCGGUAACUAGGGAGCGGCCACGGCGCGGCCCCCGGGCACGGAGAGGCAGAGCAGAACCGCCGCCUGGAUGCAGACGGGGAAGCCGGUGACAGAUGUCCCCGGAGACUGCUGUGCGUCAGAGCCGGCAUGAGCCCCCAGCGCUGCGUCAGCCCUGCGGGCCGCGCAGCCCGGCUUGGGAGCGUGUUCCCUAGUUCCGGGACACAGAGAGGGGGAAAUGAAGAUGAAUUUACAGGAUCGUGGACUCCCUGGUUGCCAGCAACGUUUCUCUAUGGAAACUGACGGCUGGCAUCUGAGGCAUUAGUCACCCACCCCCUCCUUGUACCCUCUGCGUAUAGAAAGUGUCACUCUCAGCGUCAGACAGCAGAAACAAUGAGCCAAUGGCGGCUCUCCUCCGCCCUCCCCACUCAUCUCCUUAUUAGCAAGAUCUGGCUCCUCAUGGAAGAUAUAUUUCCCUUCUUCAGGGAGUUUAGAGUUGGGGACACAAUCUGAUCCCAUUUCUUCAUUAUAAGGAGAAAAAAACUGAGAUAUGGAGAGAAAUGAUUUGCCCAAGGUCACAUAAAGAAAGCUACCAUGAUGCAUUGCACAAAGAGGUGCUUAACAAAUGAUUACUGGAUGAAUAACAACCUUGGCAAUGUGAAAAGGAAAUGUCUCCUACAUCUGGAAAGCACUCGCCACCUUCUCUAUGACACUGUCCCCGAUCCCCCGCCUACUCCUAGCGCACAUUUUUAAUGCUCUCCCCUCUUCGAUGUUCAUUGUACUGUACUUCUCUGGGUAUACUUCCCCAAAAGAAUGUUUCUUGAGAGAGAGGGAUUCAUGUUUUCGUCCUUGCAUCAGGUCCAAGCAUAUGGUGUAGUAUUUUGAACAUAAGAAUUUGAUGAAAGGUUUGUUGAAUGGUUAAAUGUUUGAUUAGGAAAAAGAGUUAAACAAUACAGAAGAAUGACAGCCUGAAAAGAACCUUACUUAAAACAUAAAACACAAUAUCAGAAUAUGCUUUACCUUUCCAGUUAGAUCAGGCAGGCAGUGGCCCAAUAGGUAAGAGCAUUGAGCCUGGAAUCAGGAAAACCUGAGGGUUUUCAUAUAGUGUUUUAUAUAUAUAGUUUACCAGCUGUGUGAUUUUGGGCAAGUCACAACUUUUGUUUGUCUCAUUUCAAGUCACUUAACUUUUAUCUCAGUUUCCUUACCUGUAAAAAUGUGGAUAACAACAUCUACUUCCCAGAGUUGUUGUGAGGAUCAAAUUGUAAAGCUCUUAGCACAGUGUCUGGCAUACAGUAUAAACCCCAUAUAAGUAAUUAUUGUUGUUGUCCAGCUCUAUAGAAUGUGGACCUUAGGGACCAUCCAGUCCAAUUUUUUACUUUAUAGAUGAGGAAACUGAGAAAGAGGUGAUCUACCCAAACAUACAAGUUAGUGGCUGAACCAUGACUAGAUCUAAUAAUAUUUAUAAAGCACUUAGCACACUGCCUGACCUCUAAGUGCUGAUUAAAUCCUGGCGGCAACCUCAGAAAUGACUGGUGAGCUCAGGAGUAAUUCCAUCCUGCCAGCUUCUGGUUGUUGUUUGCUUUCAUUCUUGAAGAUAAUGACAUCAGGGAGGGGAGGCCAUGACAUGUGAGUCACAGAUGUGCCCUCCUUACUUGCUCCUCCCAAGCCAGAUAUAGAUCAAGACCCCUGAAGAUGGCCAGCUUCUAAAUCAAAGCAAUAAACCCAAGCCCCAUCACCCGCUGUAGACAAGACUGGCCAAUGGUUCUCUGGGGACCACUGCAGGAGCAGGAACAGGAUCUGAAGUCCCAGGGCUUACAUUUGAAUCCUGGCUCUUUAACUUAUUCCCCAUGUGACCUAUGGCAAGUCAACUAAUUUUUCUGGCUCAGUUUCCUAUUCUGUACAGUGAGGUAGUUGUGAUAGAGUGCAGCUUCUAGGGGAGAUGCAGCAAUAACGUUAAGGUCCCCUAGUCUUGGGAGUGAUAUAGUUAAAAAUGAUAUAUUUCUUCCCUUACCUUCUAGGGGAGAUGUAGUGAUAACCCUAAGGUCCCCUGGCCUUGGGAAUGUCAUAGUUCUAUAAACAUUGCUGUCAGAUAAAAAUCUUUUGGUCAAUAAUAACAAAGUUUUUGAGACAAUAAUGAAGUGCCUACUAGACCACUCUUCAAAUCCAUCUGUAAGCCAUAAACUUAGCAAAUCAGUGACAUGAGACCUGGUCUUUCAACUUUUUCCUAUAAAUUUAUCUUCUUGUUCCUGGUUCUUUGUUAAAUUCUUUUGAAUUUGGCCUGCUGUAAUUGGCAUUAUAUUUAAAAUAAAUUUUCCCCUUGACUUGGGAGAUGGUUCUGAGCUUGCAAAUUCUUUUGAGACACCUUAUGACACUGGUCUGGAGCACCAACCUUUUGGGGUUUCCUUUGAACCCCAACAACUGGACUAAAUUAUCUGUUUCUGGCCCAUUCUAGCUUAAAUCCCUGUUUGUCUGCUAGCCCUUUCAAGUGGAUUCUAAACAAUAAGCAGGUAGAAGGCAGUAAUGAGACUAGAAAGAUGGAAGCAAGAUCUGAAAUAGUCCAAGAAUAAAAAUAAUGGAUAGGAGCUCAUGUUUCCAUGGCAGGGAAUAUUUUCCUCAUAAUAACCCUUUGAGGGAAAUAACAUAAGUACUGUUUUAUCCAUUUUACAGGUACAGAAACUGAGAGUGAGGAGAAGAAACUCAUCAUUGGUGUUAUACAGCUAGCGAGGCAGAGCUAGAUGUAGAACUCAUCCCCUGAUCCUUAGAUAAUGGGUUCUCCUCUUGUGGGCAAGGGUCAAGAAUAGUCAGUCUAUUCUGAGGUCCCACUAAACAAAGUACUGCCCUAAGGAACAGGAUAUCAAUCCUAGCUAUGUUACCAAUUUCCUGUUAUGAUAAAUUAAACAAGCCAUUUCCUUUGGGGAGGCCUCAGUUUAUACAUCUAUAGAAUGGGCUGCUAAGAUCUGUCAUACUUUGCUAACACCCCCCUCCCCCCGCAAAGUAUUGACUAAAAAUUGCUUUCCCUCUUUUCUCCCACAAUCAAAUCAACAAUACUACUGAAGCUUGGAUAAAAAAUAGAUUGAAAAGGUGUCAAUCUAGUUCCCCAAGGUUGCAUUUACUGUCCCAAUAACAUUUCAAACCAAAACGCUCCCUUUUGGUCCUAAAUCUCCUGUUGUCUUUCCCAUAAGAAUAUAAGCUCAUUUUGUAAAAACAAAUAGUUUAGAAUAGUACUUGCCAAGGAAGAGCUCAAUUUUCCCCCCAUUCAUUUAUACCAUCUCCUCUAGUCAGUUAAGUAGGACUAGACUGGAUUAGACUUUUCCACCUUUCUCCCAGUUAAGUAGGACUAGAAACAAAUCUUCUAGGUUCUUUUUAUAUCCAAGUGACUCCCUUUGCACUUCUUUGCUAUCCACCUAGUCCAGGCAUCUACCAACCAUCAUCUGGAUUAUUUUACUAGCUUCCUAAUUAAAGUUUCUCCUCUCCAGUAUUUCACGCUUAAGGUCAUGCUUCCAGCACUGUCUUUAAGGCUCUAUUCAAUUUUUUCCUAUCAAGUUUUACUCACAACUUUUCACUAACUCUUAAUUCUGCCAGUCCUUCUGAAAGCCUCCAUUUUGAAUAUACCUCCCUAGUGCUUAUAUUUAUUUGAAUUACGGUCAUUCUCCUUCCAAGAGUCCAGGGGCCAUAUCUAAAAUGCUUCUGUAUUCUAGUACAGAAACCCACAACUAGAAAGAGCUCAAACACAAAUUUUGAGACUACCCUCAGUUUAUCUUGCCUAUAUGCUGUUUGUACAGAGUUGUUGUCUCUUCCUACUUUAGACUGUGAUCAGCUUGAGAGGAAGGGCUAUUUUUUGCAUUUUUUUUUUUUUAAACUGUGUAUGCGUGUGUAACUCAUUUGAGCCAACAAUAUUUAAACAUCAUUCAGGCCCUAUUCAGAACAUUUGCUCUUACACAUAUACAUUUUUAAAUUAAAUACAACUUUAAGUGCAUUGUGUUAUUAUAUAAAUACAAAAGAAAAAUUAUGUAACACAAAGAUUUCUUUUAAACCAUUACAUUUAAGUUGAAUAGUGCCAUUUGCAGUGAGUCAAGUUUUUAUCACUCCUUUCUGUUAUUACAAAUUUUUCUUUUGCUUGGCUCUGCUGGAAAGCAUAUUGAUAUUCUCCCUAUUAGAGGAGUUUGAGUGGAGGACUUAGCAUAGUGUUUAGCACAUAGUAGGUGCUUGUUAACUAACUGAAUGAAUAAAUGCUGUAUUUACCACUCCUCUACCAUUUAAGAGAAACAAAAACCAUAAUGCACAUGAUACCUGAAAGGUGUUUUUUUUUUUUUUUUUUAAUUUACAUUUUUUCCUCUCAAUUUGUGCAGGGCCUUUGAUUUUUCUUAUUCCCUUUAAAGGAAAAAAGGUUUCUUUUGUCCACCUUAGGAGAUCACUGGGAUAUCAGCUCACAUUCUUCAUAGUUCCCUUUACUGGUGAGUGUGAUGAUGGGAGGUGGGAGAAAAGACUGACAUUAUAAAAUGCAGAGGGGAGGAAGAUCAGGCUAGUCCUGAAGGGCCAAGCUCUCCAAGGGAAUAAGCUAGUUUUAUGAAUGUCAAAAUUGGGGGUCUCAGAAGCUGUUUAACCUAACCAAUAUUCCCAAAAAGUGGUCUUUGAAGAUUUCACGUGAAAUUUUAUGAAGUCCACUUUUAGACAUUACAUUCUAAUUUGUUACCAAGUUGGGUUUUUUUCCUACUUGGAGCCCAAAUUAACUUUGGGGAAAAAGAAGUCAACUUGUUUUCUUCUUAUCAGGCUAAGAAGGACAAGCCCCUUAAUCACUCUUUUAAACAUAGCCAGAUCCCAAAUCUUCAGGCAAAAUAUUCCUAGUUUAUUAAGUUUCCAAUCUCCUCGUCAUUGUCUUCAGUCUUCUCUUCAUCCUUAAAUUCCCUAACUUCUGAAGACAGGGAAGGUUUUGACCCCCACCCUUUACCUGCCCAGCCUCCCUCUACUCCCAAGACUGGAAUGUCUACACAUUUGGAUCUCCCUAUAGAUAAUGGAGAACACCAAAGAUGAAUCUUAUCUUUUUCUCUUAACAUUCCAAAGACUUGAAUCUUUUUUUUUUUCCUGCUUCAAUGGAAUUGUGUCCAGGCCCAGCCUGUCCCUAAUCAACCUAAAAGCACAGUUAUGGGGCCCAUCAAACACAUUAUAGGUUCUACUGAAGUCUGGAGCUGGGGGUGACUAAUUUUACUUCUCUCCUGGACAGUUUCUUGCUCUCCAACCCCAAUUUGGGGUGGGUGAUAAGUACAUGAUCUUAACAUUCCCUCUGAUGGCUCAUCGCUAAGACUGAAGACAGCCUAAGCUCCCAAGCCUGGCACUUGAGGUUUCCAGAGUCUGAUCUCAACUAAUCUCUUCAAUCUCACCUCCUACUCCUCCCCUUCAGAAUUCUUUCUUACAACCAGACUGGUCAGCCUGCUUGAUGUGAAGGUAAAAAGAGACUGAUUUGGAUCUUGGCUUUGCCAUUUAUACCGUUUUGAAAUUUGAACCUGGGUUCAGAUUUCAGUCUUGCCAGUUUAAAGUAGUGUAGCCACGGACAAAUUGCUUCUUUGGACCUGGAAUGCAAUAUAUAAAUAUGAAUAAUUUUUAGUUUCUUACAGUUCUGAAUCUUUUGUGUUCCAAUGUCCUUAUUGACUGAAACAAUUUUACUAACAUGAUGAGGAGGCAGUAUUAUGAAAUCAGAGGUCCCCAAUUCAAAAUCCAGUCCUAAUUGUGUGAUCACUGCCCUUUACUUUGAGAGUGGGACUAUGUUACCUUAGAAUCCUUACAGCUCAAAGGACUGGUAUGUCCUCCAGAGUUUGCCUCUGGGAGAGCAAAGAAAAAUGAACUAUGGUUAACUUUUUUUGUGGUUCGGAUUUGUCAAAUUCACCCUUGAAACUUGAAGACUCCAACACUGAGUUCCUGUGAAAAUCCUAAAGACUUCCAGGUUUUAAAGUGCUAAUCCCUGUUUCUCUGGCUUCUGCUCUCCAUAGAAGAGUUGAGAUAUUUGAAGUGGACUUGCUAAAUGAUUCUGAAUGGCUAAUUUCCCACCUUUGGGCUUUAGUUUCCUUUUGUAAGCUAAGACUGCCUGAUGGCCAUUACAGGGUAGAUAUGGUGAUCUUUUCUCCAAAGCUGAACCUGUUAGGUACAUGCAAGGCUCAGAGUGGAGGGG